AUGUAUUAGGUUUAAUCCAUCGUUGGUUGGCGAUUACUGAAGCAUUACAUGGUUUUUGGCUUUGCCUAAUAAACUUUUAAAUCAUAAAGUUUGACCUCAAAUCAGGUAGGAUUACCCGCUGAACUUAAGCAUAUCAAUAAGCGGAGGAAAAGAAACCAACAGGGAUUGCCUUAGUAGCGGCGAGUGAAGCGGCAAGAGCUCAAAUUUGAAAUCUGGUACCUUCGGUAUCCGAGUUGUAAUUUGGAGAAAACAAUCUUUGAUUUGGCCUUUGUCUAUGUUCCUUGGAACAGGACGUCAUAGAGGGUGAGAAUCCCGUGCGAUGAGGUGUCCAUUUCUAUAUAAGAUGUUUUCGAAGAGUCGAGUUGUUUGGGAAUGCAGCUCAAAGUGGGUGGUAAAUUCCAUCUAAAGCUAAAUAUUGGCGAGAGACCGAUAGCGAACAAGUACUGUGAAGGAAAGAUGAAAAGAACUUUGAAAAGAGAGUGAAAAAGUACGUGAAAUUGUUGAAAGGGAAGGGUAUUCGAUCAGACUUGGUAUUUAGUUAUCAUUGCUCCUUGUGGGUGGUGCUCUAGCUUUUUACUGGGCCAGCAUCAGUUUUGGUGGCAAGAUAAUCACAGUUGAAUGUGGCUCCUCGGAGUGUUAUAGCUUCUGUAGAUAUUGUCUACUGGGACUGAGGUCUGCGGCUUUUGCCUAGGAUGCUGGCGUAAUGAUCUAAUACCGCCCGUCUUGAAACAUGGACCAAGGA
rnacentral:rRNA from 1 species